rnacentral:rRNA from 1 species
AUGAACGCUGGCGGCGUGCCUAAUACAUGCAAGUCGAGCGAACAGAUGAGGAGCUUGCUCCUCUGACGUUAGCGGCGGACGGGUGAGUAACACGUGGAUAACCUACCUAUAAGACUGGGAUAACUUCGGGAAACCGGAGCUAAUACCGGAUAAUAUAUUGAACCGCAUGGUUCAAUAGUGAAAGACGGUUUUGCUGUCACUUAUAGAUGGAUCCGCGCCGCAUUAGCUAGUUGGUAAGGUAACGGCUUACCAAGGCAACGAUGCGUAGCCGACCUGAGAGGGUGAUCCGCCACCCUGGAACUGGAACACGGUCCCGACUCCUACGGGAGGCAGCAGUAGGGAAUCCUCCGCAAUGGGCGAAAGCCUGACGGAGCCACCCCGCGUGAGUGAUGAAGGUCUUCGGAUCGUAAAACUCUGUUAUUAGGGAAGAACAAAUGUGUAAGUAACUAUGCACGUCUUGACGGUACCUAAUCAGAAAGCCACGGCUAACUACGUG